UUUUAUUUAAAAAGUUAAAAUAUAUUAAAAAGACGAGAAGACCCUAUAGAGUUUUAUAUUUAAAUUUAAUUAAAAUUAUUUAUAAAAUUAAAAUUAAAAUUAAUUUAAUUAUUCUGUUGGGGUGAUAGAAAAAUAUGAAAAACUUUUUAUAUAUUUAUAUUAAGAACAUUAAUAAAUGAUUAAAUGAUCCAAUAUUAUUGAUUAUAAGAAAAAAUUACCUUAGGGAUAACAGCGUAAUUUUUUUUUUUAGUUCAUAUAAGAAAAAGAGUUUGCGACCUCGAUGUUGGAUUAAGAUAAAAUUUAAAUGUAGAAG
rnacentral:rRNA from 1 species